rnacentral:rRNA from 1 species
GACAGAGGGGGCAAGCGUUGCUCGGAAUCACUGGGCGUAAAGGGCGCGUAGGCGGCUUGGCAAGUGGAAGGUGAAAUCCCUCGGCUUAACCGAGGAACUGCCCUCCAAACUGCUUUGCUUGAGGCCGGGAGAGGUGAGUGGAAUUCCCAGUGUAGCGGUGAAAUGCGUAGAUAUUGGGAGGAACACCAGUGGCGAAGGCGGCUCACUGGACCGGUUCUGACGCUGAUGCGCGAAAGCGUGGGGAGCAAACGGG